UGUAAAACACAUAUUACAAAAUAUGAAUUUCACAAAGGUUCUAACUGUGGCACUUUUCCUUAUCAUGAUUUUUGUAGCAAAUUGUAAUGCUGCGUUUAAAGUGCCUUGCGAAAUAAAAUGUAGAUUAGAAUGUUUGGGCAAUCCUAUUUGCAUAGCAAUGUGCUUGAAUGUUUGUCCUCAUUUUAUUUCUCAUAAAGCAUUGAACUGUAAGCUUGCUUGUUCAAAUGAACAUUGCUCCAAGUUUAUGGAAGAUGCGGAGUUAAUGAGCAGCUGCUUGGAUGAAUGUUCAACAAAAGAUUGCACCUAGCUAGAAAGGCAUGUACAAUUAUGCUACUUGUUUACUAAAAGUAAACUAGAAAAAUAUAUUACUAUCUUGAUGAAUCAAUUGUAAUCAAGAUUUAUGUUGUCAAAGAA